UACGUAGGGGGCAAGCGUUGUCCGGAUUCAUUGGGCGUAAAGAGCUCGUAGGCGGUUCGGCAAGUCGGGUGUGAAAACUCCAGGCUCAACCUGGAGACGCCACCCGAUACUGCUGUGACUUGAGUCCGGUAGGGGACCACGGAAUUCCUGGUGUAGCGGUGAAAUGCGUAGAGAUCAGGAAGAACACCGGUGGCGAAGGCGCUCUGCUAGGCCGCAACUGACGCUGAGGGACGAAAGCUAGGGGAGCGAAUGGG
rnacentral:rRNA from 1 species